rnacentral:tRNA from 1 species
GCACCCUUAGCUCAGUUGGUAGAGCAAUUGACUCUUAAUCAAUGGGUCGGGAGUUCGAGCCUCCCAGGGUGUA